rnacentral:rRNA from 1 species
GACGAACGCUGGCGGCGUGCUUAACACAUGCAAGUCGAACGGAAAGGUCCUGCUUUUGUGGGGUUCUCGAUUGGCGAACGGGUGAGUAACACGUGAGUAACCUGCCCUUGACUUUGUGAUAACUUCAGGAAACUGGGGCUAAUACCGGAUAGGAGCUCCUGCUGCAUGGUGGGGGUUGGAAAGUUUCGGCGGUUGGGGAUGGACUCGCGGCUUAUCAGCUUGUUGGUGGGGUAGUGGCUUACCAAGGCUUUGACGGGUAGCCGGCCUGAGAGGGUGACCGGGCACAUUGGGCCUGAGAUACGGCCCAGACGCGUACGGGAGGCAGCAGUGGGGAAUAUUGCACAAUGGGCGGAAGCCUGAUGCAGCAACGCCGCGUGCGGGAUGCCGGCCUUCGGGUUGUAAACCGAUUUCGCCUGUGACGAAGCGUGAGUGACGGUAAUGGGUAAAGAAGCACCGGCUAACUACGUG